rnacentral:rRNA from 1 species
GCCGAGCGUUCAGGCGGUUAUUCUUGAUGAUCUUCACCGGUUGUCUCGGGUGACCGCCAAGUUUACUUUGAAAAAAUUAGAGUGCUCAAAGCAGGCGCGACGCCUGAAUAAUUGUGCAUGGAAUAAUGGAAUAGGACCUCGGUUCUAUUUUGUUGGUUUUCGGAACACGAGGUAAUGAUUAAGAGGGACAGACGGGGGCAUUCGUAUUGCGACGCUAGAGGUGAAAUUCUUGGACCGUCGCAAGACGAACUACUGCGAAAGCAUUUGCCAAGAAUGUUUCCAUUAAUCAAGAACGAAAGUUAGAGGUUCGAAGGCGAUCAGAUACCGCCCUAGUUCUAACCAUAAACGAUGUCAGCCAGCAAUCCGCCUGUGUUCCUCAAAUGACACGGCGGGCGGCUUCCGGGAAACCAAAGCUUUUGGGUUCCGGGGGAAGUAUGGUUGCAAAGCUGAAACUUAAAGGAAUUGACGGAAGGGCACCACCAGAAAUGGAGCCUGCGGCUUAAUUUGACUCAACACGGGGAAACUUACCCGGCCCGGACACAGGAAGGAUUGACAGAUUAAGAGCUCUUUCUUGAUUCUGUGGGUGGUGGUGCAUGGCCGUUCUUAGUUGGUGGGGCGACUUGUCUGGUUAAUUCCGAUAACGAACGAGACUCUAGCCUACUAAAUAGACGUUCCGAUCCUCUUUCGUCGGACGUUCUUCUUAGAGGGACAAGCGGCGUUUAGCCGCACGAGACAGAGCAAUAACAGGUCUGGGAUGCCCUUAGAUGUCCGGGGCCGCACGCGCGCUACAUUGAAGGAAUCAGCGUGUGCUUUCCCUGUCCGAAAGGACUGGGUAACCCGUUGAACCUCCUUCGUGCUGGGGAUUGGCGCCUGUAAUUACUCGCCAUGAACGAGGAAUUCCCAGUAAGCACGAGUCAUCAGCUCGUGUUGAUUACGUCCCUGCCCUUUGUCCACACCGCCCGUCGCUACUACCGAUUGAAUGAUUUAGUGAGGUCUUCGGACUGGCGCUC